CCGCUGCUGCUGCGGACCGAAGCCACGGGCCUCCGACGCCGGGGAAAAGUAGUUUGUUAAACCCGCCUGGUGGAUUGUUGUCGGCGUGCGGAGAGAAGCGUCCGCCCGUGGGAACUAACUUCAUCACUCAGGUUUGAUAAAUCUGGGUUCUGGUGGACUUCGUGGACUCUCCUCCAGGAUUCAGUCUGAAGAAACAUCCAGUCAUUAAAGUUAAUAUGAACUAUGUA